AGGCAAUCUGGCACGUUCUGUCUUGUUCCUUCUUGAUUCCCUUCGAUUUGCCACACCUAACUUCCACUGCCUUCUGAUGAUGGACAGAAAAGGAAAAAGAAGGAAGAUCUCUCCCUGCCACAACAAUGUACUAAGGGCAGUUAGCAGCCAGUGAGAAACCACCGCAACCUUGAACUCUUCUUCUCCAAUGAACUUUUGUUUAAAACAUCCCUCCCGUAUUUCCUUCUAAAACCUAAUAAAAACUGACCUUCCCUUUGUCUCUU